rnacentral:rRNA from 1 species
GAUGAACGCUGGCGGCGUGCCUAAUACAUGCAAGUCGAGCGAACGGACGAGAAGCUUGCUUUUCUGAUGUUAGCGGCGGACGGGUGAGUAACACGUGGAUAACCUGCCUAUAAGACUGGGAUAACUUCGGGAAACCGGAGCUAAUACCGGAUAAUAUUUUGAACCGCAUGGUUCAAAAGUGAAAGACGGUCUUGCUGUCACUUAUAGAUGGAUCCGCGCUGCAUUAGCUAGUUGGUAAGGUAACGGCUUACCAAGGCAACGAUGCAUAGCCGACCUGAGAGGGUGAUCGGCCACACUGGAACUGAGACACGGUCCAGACUCCUACGGGAGGCAGCAGUAGGGAAUCUUCCGCAAUGGGCGAAAGCCUGACGGAGCAACGCCGCGUGAGUGAUGAAGGUCUUCGGAUCGUAAAACUCUGUUAUUAGGGAAGAACAUAUGUGUAAGUAACUGUGCACAUCUUGACGGUACCUAAUCAGAAAGCCACGGCUAACUACGUG